rnacentral:lncRNA from 1 species
GGUCCUUCCACUUCUAGAAAAGGAUUGUGGGACGGCAGGUCGGUCUUUCUUCCUUUUGGUGCGAGCUUGGUGUGGUUUUUGCGCUGGGUCUUCCGGGAUGGCGCUUGGCUGUGGCCGCGUGGUCUCUCACGCCGGGACGCCGGGCAGGGGAACGCGGCCACCCUGAGUCUGGUGAGUCGACUGCGGCGGCCGGACCGUGUCCGAGGUGUCCGGGGCCGUGAACGCGUGAAGGGUGGAAGAUGGAUGCCUGAAGUGUAGACUGCUGCUAGCUCAAUACCAUCUGGGAGCACAAAGGUGACCAGAAGGAUGUCCUUGGUGAAGAGUUUGAAAAUUUGGUCUUCACAAGAGUUGCUUGGCUCAUUUGAAAUUGCCGGGAGUCUGAGGAUUUCUGACAUAACUGCCUGUUGGAGUCUGUAAAUACACACUUAAGACAGUGAGGAUGUGAAUAAAUAUAUUAAUGCACUUCGAC